rnacentral:rRNA from 1 species
AGAAGCAGCCAUCAUUUAAAGAAAGCGUAAUAGCUCACUGGUCGAGUCGGCCUGCGCGGAAGAUGUAACGGGGCUAAACCAUGCACCGAAGCUGCGGCAGCGAACGUAUCACUUAAAGCGAUUCAGCGGAUGACGAUUGACGGAGCGAAGCGACGUCAAAGCGUAUACAAAGUCGAGUCGGUUUAAGGAUACGUUCGUUGGGUAGGGGAGCGUUCUGUAAGCCUGCGAAGGUGGCCUGUGAGGGUUGCUGGAGGUAUCAGAAGUGCGAAUGCUGACAUAAGUAACGAUAAAGCGGGUGAAAAGCCCGCUCGCCGGAAGACCAAGGGUUC